AAAAGUCGUAACAAGGUUUCCGUAGGUGAACCUGCGGAAGGAUCAUUAACACUUUUUAUUAUUUUGUUUUUUUUCUAAAACAAAAUUUAAAACCCCACAAUUUUGGAUGAAUUUAAUUAAUUUAUUUUUUAUUUUAUUUUUUUUAUUAUAACCCUAUUAUUUUGACUAACAUUUUUAUUUAAUUAUUAAAAAAUUAAAAAACAACUCUUAACAACGGAUAUCUUGGCUCUC
rnacentral:misc_RNA from 1 species